UGUGAGUCACUAAAAACUGUAUAUAGUCGAGAUCAAGAGCAAUGAUGACUAUUCAAUCUCAUUAAUGGUAGUCCCUAAUUCAAAUUUUAGAGCAUAUUAUAUCUCUGUAAGUUUGUCUGGGCUAUAAUUAUGACCCCAGCACCGAGGCUUGAGGACUUGAAGGCUUCGUCAACAUAUAACUCCCAUAUGUCCAUGAUGUUAAAAGGGCUUAUUUCCCUUUGCCCCCAAGGAUUUAGGAUGAGUUCUACUAUAAAGUCUACCAAGCCUGAGCUUCAAUUGAAAGUCGAGGUUUUGAAUUUUGUGUUAAAUUUACGAAGUUCGAUUAUCCAUUUCAGUAACAUUCUCGAGGUGUUAGCUUUUGUAGUAUGUCCUUGAGCGACUUGUUUGUAAGCACUAUGGUGGAAUGAGAUUGGAAAUAUUGUCUUAGUGUUUGUGCUGUCAUGACCCGGGCAAGAGCAAGCUUUUGCUCACAUAAUAGAUUGUUUGUUGAGCCUUGUUAACUUCUUUCACCAACACAUCACUUACGUAUUUUGGGAAAUGGC
rnacentral:lncRNA from 1 species